rnacentral:rRNA from 1 species
AUACGUAGGUGGCAAGCGUUGUCCGGAUUUACUGGGCGUAAAGGGUGCGUAGGCGGAUGUUUAAGUGAGAUGUGAAAUCCCCGGGCUUAACCUGGGGGCUGCAUUUCAAACUGGAUAUCUAGAGUGCAGGAGAGGAGAAUGGAAUUCCUAGUGUAGCGGUGAAAUGCGUAGAGAUUAGGAAGAACACCAGUGGCGAAGGCGAUUCUCUGGACUGUAACUGACGCUGAGGCACGAAAGCGUGGGUAGCAAACAGGAUUAGAUACCCUGGUAGUCCACGUCGUAAACGAUGAGUACUAGGUGUAGGAGGUAUCGAUCCCUUCUGUGCCGCAGUUAACACAAUAAGCACUCCGCCUGGGGAGUACGUUCGCAAGAAUGAA